CUGGCUGAUCACAAGUCUAAAGCAAGAAGACUACAAAUCCAAGGCCUACUCAGGGAGUCUGAGACAGCCUUGACAAAGUGCAACUCCAGUACAGACUUGGUGCAUCCUGACAGCCAUGUAUACCUACAUACAUGAUCCAAACUGCCAACAGUAUGAGGCAUACCCAUCACCCUGAAAACCUGUAUUCCUCUUCAAUGAGAAUAUUGAGGGUGAACAUACUAUUGAGACUGUGCUUUUGAUUACUGUAAAAUGAAAUUUCAAUAUUUGUCUAACAAGCAUGGAAAAGGUGAAGAUAGUCUGUUAGGGCCAGAAGGUCUCUUAAGAAAACAACUAAUCUGAUUUUAUAAUUUCAUAACAUCUAAGUCAGCUUUCUAUAGAAUGCUCAUGUAAAAGAAGUAGUCAUGGAUAAGAGGAAUCUGUGAUGUCCUUUGAGAAGCAUGAUGGUAUGACUCCAUGGAGGGGGUAGAGAAAAUCUGACAGAGAUGGUUCUAGUUCUCGCCAUUGCUUCUUGCAAUUCCACCAUGGUAAAAGCAAAGAGAUUCUUUAUAAACAUGACAUCAAGAAAAAAAAAAAAAACAGAGGAGGGAAGAGCAAAGAGAAAAU